CUUGCAGAAUUGGUUGACCUGAGAGUUGUUGAACGCUUUUGACUUUUAUCCAUCAAGAGAGAGAUCAACUCAGUGGGAAACUACGAAACUAUUUCCGGCACAAACAUACAAUUUCUUUCGAUAUCUUGUCAAGUCUUUCCGGCUUCUGCUAACGUUGCCAUUCAUCAAAGACCAGUGAUUAUUAUCACAUGCCAAUAUUUUAGAGAAAGCACUUUGCUUGCUGAAAUCCCUUUUCAUAAUUUAGUGGAUUAAGCUUCAAAGCGUCAAAACAAAAAGAGCUUUUUCUUGAUAUUCUAGAAAAUCCUUCCUGCCCUAUCAACGCCCUGCCAAUAUUCAUGGACGAAUAAAAACACGCAUACAUAACCUUGCAUAUGAAGCGAGACUCAUUUCAAGCAAAAGGUGAACCAAA
rnacentral:sRNA from 1 species